UGUGAAUGAAUGAGAGGGAAGAGUCUCGUGCACGCAGAGCUUGAACAAAAACGAACGGACCUGAAUGAAGGCACGCUUUGAGCAACGUUUAGAUUUGUCCAUGCACACAGUGUCAGGCUGCUGCAGAGAUGCUCCUGUUCGAACUUUCCUCUGUCACUUUCAUUUAAGGGGUUUGGGCUGAGGAUAUACGCAUUUGUCACAAGGGACAGCAAUCCAGACGUCUCUGAGCACGUAUCAUCUGCAGUGCUAUCAAGACAGUGAGAGAUGAGGAAGGUGUGCGUGAAAAGGAUCGUCUAGAGACACUGAGAUGAAGUCAGAGAUGUCCGGGAUUGCUCUUGCUCUAUUCCUUGCAUCUGUGGGGUGCUCUCUCUCUUCUGGAGGCCGAGCAAUGUCCUGUACAGGUCAGGAAGGGUGAGCUGUGCUGGGUUUUGAGGAUACCCGACGCCCUCCUUCCACACUGGCACCUCUGGAGCCUCCUUCAGUACGAUGGAAAGAGCAAAGAGAAUGGAAAACUGAUGCUGGUCUAAUCUCGCCUGGAGCCAGGAUGGUGCUUCACAAGCACAGACGAGACAGAACCAGACCUGAUGAUGAGAUCCACUGUUGUCCUGGAGACUCGAUGAUGUCAUAUUUAGAACUCUUCAGUCCACACACACACACACACACACACACACACACACACACACACACACACACAUGUUGGUCUACCUAUCAUUAUGAGGACUUUCCAUAGACAUAAUGACUUUUAUACUGUACAGACUAUAGAUUCUAUCCUCUAAACCUAACCCUACCCCUAAACCUAACCCUCACAGAAAACAUUCUGCAUUUUUACAUUUUCAAUAAAACAUUGUUUAGUAUGAUUUUUAAGCGAUUUGAAUUAUGGGACACUAGAAAUGUCCUCAUAAAUCACAUUUAUAGCAUAAUAACCUUGUAAUUACCAGUUUGUAACUUACAAAAUUGUCCUCGUAAAUCACAAAAACAGGCACACACACUCACAUACACACACACACUCACACAGACUCACACAGACACACACACACACAAACACUCAAUCACACACACACACACACACACUCUCACACACACACACAAACACACACUCUCACACACAAACAAACACACACUCUAACACACACAAACACACACUCUCACACACACACAAACACACACACACACACUCACACACA